rnacentral:rRNA from 1 species
GCAACCUGCCCCGAAGACCGGGAUAACACCGGGAAACCGGUGCUAAUACCGGAUGUUCCUCACUGAUCCGAGUGACGUGGUAAGAAAUUGAUUCCGCUUCGGGAGGGGCUCGCGACCUAUCAGCUUGUAGGUGGGGUAAUGGCCUACCUAGGCUCCGACGGAUAGCUGUUCUGAGAGGACGAUCAGCCACACUGGGACUGAGACACGGUCCAGACUCCUACGGGAGGCAGCAGUGGGGAAUCUUGCGCAAUGGACGAAAGCCUGACGCAGCAACGCCGCGUGAGGGACGAAGGCCUUCUGGGUUGUAAACCUCUUUCAGCAGGGAAGAUUAUGACGGUACCGGAAGAAGAAGCCCC